CAAACUUGAUGGUGUUUAUGACGUCGAUAUUCGACGUCAUAAACACCAAACUUGAUGGUGUUUAUGACGUCGAAUAUCGACGUCAUAAACACCCAAC
rnacentral:miRNA from 1 species